rnacentral:rRNA from 1 species
GGCUCAAGACGAACGCUGGCGGCGUGCUUAACACAUGCAAGUUCGAACGAUGAAGCGGUGCUCGCACCGUGGAUUAGCGGCGAACGGGUGAGUAAUACGUCGAGUCGACCUACCUUUGACUCUGGGAUAAUCCUGGGAAAACUGGGUCUAAUACCGGAUACGACCAAUCUCUGCAUGGGGUCGUUUGGUGGAAAGCGUUAUGGAGUGGUUUUAGAUGGGCUCACGGCCUAUCAGCUUGUUGGUGAGGUAAUGGCUUACCAAGGCGACGACGGGUAGCCGGCCUGAGAGGGUGACCGGCCACACUGGGACUGAGACACGGCCCAGACUCCUACGGGAGGCAGCAGUGGGGAAUAUUGCACAAUGGGCGCAAGCCUGAUGCAGCGACGCCGCGUGAGGGAUGACGGCCUUCGGGUUGUAAACCUCUGUUAGCAUCGAAGAAGCGAAAGUGACGGUAGGUGCAGAGAAAGCGCCGGCUAACUACGUGCCAGCAGCCGCGGUAAUACGUAGGGCGCGAGCGUUGUCCGGAAUUAUUGGGCGUAAAGAGCUUGUAGGGCGGUUGGUCGCGUCUGCCGUGAAAGGCCGGGGCUUAACUCCGGUUUUGCAGUGGGUACGGGCUAACUAGAGUGCAGUAGGGGAGACUGGAAUUCCUGGUGUAGCGGUGGAAUGCACAGAUAUCAGGAGGAACACCGAUGGCGAAGGCAGGUCUCUGGGCUGUAACUGACGCUGAGAAGCGAAAGCAUGGGGAGCGAACAGGAUUAGAUACCCUGGUAGUCCAUGCCGUAAACGUUGGGCACUAGGUGUGGGGGACAUUCCACGUUUUCCGCGCCGUAGCUAACGCAUUAAGUGCCCCGCCUGGGGAGUACGGCCGUAAGGCUAAAACUCAAAGGAAUUGACGGGGGCCCGCACAAGCGGCGGAGCAUGCGGAUUAAUUCGAUGCAACGCGAAGAACCUUACCAAGGCUUGACAUGCAUUAGAUCGCGUCAGAGAUGGCGUUUCCCUUCGGGGCUGGUGUACAGGUGGUGCAUGGUUGUCGUCAGCUCGUGUCGUGAGAUGUUGGGUUAAGUCCCGCAACGAGCGCAACCCUCGUUCUAUGUUGCCAGCGGUUCGGCCGGGGACUCAUAGGAGACUGCCGGGGUCAACUCGGAGGAAGGUGGGGAUGACGUCAAAUCAUCAUGCCCCUUAUGUCUUGGGCUUCACGCAUGCUACAAUGGCCGGUACAGAGGGUUGCGAUACUGUGAGGUGGAGCUAAUCCCUUAAAGCCGGUCUCAGUUCGGAUUGGGGUCUGCAACUCGACCCCAUGAAGUCGGAGUCGCUAGUAAUCGCAGAUCAGCAACGCUGCGGUGAAUACGUUCCCGGGCCUUGCACACACCGCCCGUC